rnacentral:lncRNA from 1 species
GUCAAGGGGGCGGAGCUCGCCCGCCGCGGCCUGGGCUCAUGGCCAAUGGUGGCUGACUGAAGAGCCCCGCCCAGUCAGCUGCUCGGUUCCGCCAGGCCAGUGGGCGGGGCGAACCGAGGGCGGGGCUCGGGGUGGGCGUGACCAGCUCCCCGGCCCCCGGGAGCCGCCGCGGGCGGGCUGCUGAGGUGGCUGUCGCCGGCUCCGAGCUACGGCUUCCCGGGUCGAGCCCCCGAUGGAGGCCGAGGCCAUGGACGUGCCCCCAGGCGGGGUCGAGGCGGCGCUCAGCUGCUUCUCUUUCAACCAAGACUGCACAUCCCUAGCAAUUGGAACCAAAGCUGGCUACAAGCUGUUUUCUUUGAGUUCUGUGGAGCAACUGGACCAAGUCCAUGGAAGCAAUGAAAUCCCUGACGUGUACAUUGUGGAGCGCCUCUUCUCCAGCAGCCUGGUGGUGGUGGUCAGUCACACGAAACCCCGGCAGAUGAAUGUGUAUCACUUCAAGAAGGGCACAGAGAUCUGUAAUUACAGCUACUCCAGCAACAUCUUGUCCAUAAGACUGAACCGGCAGAGGCUGCUGGUGUGCCUGGAGGAGUCCAUUUAUAUACACAACAUUAAAGAUAUGAAGCUGUUGAAGACCCUCCUGGAUAUUCCUGCAAACCCAACAGGUCUGUGUGCCCUCUCUAUCAACCAUUCCAAUUCUUACCUGGCCUAUCCUGGAAGCCUGACAACAGGCGAGAUUGUGCUUUAUGAUGGAAACUCCCUGAAAACCGUCUGUACCAUCGCUGCCCAUGAAGGGACGCUGGCCGCCAUCGCCUUCAACUCCUCAGGCUCCAAACUAGCAAGCGCAUCUGAGAAAGUGAGUAUACACCAGCAUCUCCCGCCGUCAGGGAGUCCCCUGGAUGGCUCCU